GACGAACGCUGGCGGCGUGCUUAACACAUGCAAGUCGAGCGGUAAGGCCCUUUCGGGGGUACACGAGCGGCGAACGGGUGAGUAACACGUGGGUGACCUGCCCUCAGCUCUGGGAUAAGCCUGGGAAACCGGGUCUAAUACUGGAUAUGACUCCAUGACGCAUGUUGUGGGGUGGAAAGCCUUGUGCGGCUGAGGAUGGGCCCGCGGCCUAUCAGCUUGUUGGUGGGGUGANGGCCUACCAAGGCGACGACGGGUAGCCGGCCUGAGAGGGCGACCGGCCACACUGGGACUGAGACACGGCCCAGACUCCUACGGGAGGCAGCAGUGGGGAAUCUUGCGCAAUGGGCGAAANCCUGACGCAGCGACGCCGCGUGAGGGAUGACGGCCU
rnacentral:rRNA from 1 species